AUGGUGGAUAUAAAAAAUUGCAUUUUUGUAAUUUACAAUAAUAUCAUGGGCGAUCGACGACAAUUGAACCCGUGUAUGGUGGAUUCACAAUCCACUGCCUUGAUCCACUUGUCUAUACUGAACACGUGCUCCAGAGGUUUGCCCCAUGUGCCUCUCAAGUCGUUUCUGCGGUGGCAAUUAAACCCAUUAAGCGUCGCGUGA
rnacentral:rRNA from 1 species